GUGGAGUGCCCCUGAAAGGUCAUACUCCUCCAUUUUGUCUUUUAAUGUUGAUGCCCCGGGAGUUACUUCUUCCUGGUAUCUUCCUUCAAUUAACACUUUAACGUGACAGCUGUGGACCAUCAGGAGAUUGUCGCUCCCUGGCAGUGACAGCCAAAUUAUCAUUUUUAGAGAGGCAACGCGAUAACUGUCAAAUCAUCCUCCAAUAAUCACCUUAGGGUCCUGGUGGGUUGGGGAGAGAGCCCUCUCCUCCCCUACUCAUGGCCUGUCUAACUCUCUGCAACAAGUUGCUUUAUUGCAAUAUUUGUUUUAUUGUGUUGGUCUGGAACUGAACCUGCAGUAUCUUUGAGGGUUGCCUGCAUUAAAGAAUUUCUAUGAUAAAGGAAAUCAAACUUAAAAAGUUACGUGAAUGGUUUAAGAAAGCAAACUUCAGAAGAGCCCAUGACCUUUAAUAGAAAUAUCUAUGUUCGUUUAUUUAAAAACUAUUCAUAGUUGCUUAAGGUGAUAUCUCUUGAUGUGAUAGCUCUAUUUUUCUUAUAAUAUGGCAGUUGAAUCCCAAAGAAAAAACAGUUUCACAGGACAAUACCUCAAGUAAGAUCUCUUAUUUUCUCCUGUGACGCUCUCUAAUGUCCCAUUGACCAAAACCAGUCAUAUGAAUAGGCUCACUGUGAAAGUGUGACAGGACUGCCCCAAGCAUGAAAUCUGGGAGACAUGGAUCAUGGUGAGCAUCAAAAUAACAUCAAUAUGAAAAUAUUUCUACAAUUUUGGUGGGAAAGUGUAAGAAAAAGAUAUUUAUUAUUUAUUCGUGGAUGAACAUUCAAGAGUAGUAAGAAACAAAGUGCUUCCUUCCAUUAUAACGCAAAAUAAGCAUUUAAUAAGUACAUUUAAAAUGUUACUAAUAUGGAGUAAAGAUUAUGCUAGAGCCGUAUGUCUAAAAAUAAUAUUUUUAAAAUGUGUAAGUGUAGUUUUUAAACAUAUGAGGUUUCUUCUCAGCAAGCAGACUAAGUAGCUUUAUUGAGAAUCUUACUGGGAAAACAAGAGAAAAAUAUCAAAAAUGUACAAUUAAACAUUUUGAAAAAAAUGUUCUUAAUGGAAUUGAUUAAAUACUGAUAUAGUUAGAAAUAUUUAAAUACCAAAACUAAGUGAAAAUAAAAAUUCUAUAUCUGGCUUUUUCGUUAAGAAUAUUUGCAAAUAGGGUAAAUUUGAGUUUCAAUUACCUUGACCUUGAGGCACACAGGGGCAGUUGGUAAAAGCCCGUGUCAGCCAAUUUGAGGCAAACUACAAAGGUAGAAGCCAAAAUUUCUUCCCCUUGAGUUAUUAAAUCCAAACUCAAAAAAUCACAUACACACACACACACACACACACACACACAUACACACACACAAAUGCAACAAAACCUCUGGACUGUGAGAAAUGUAUUUCUGCUCAUUAAAAAUUAGUCUCAGGUUUUCUGUUAUAGCAGCAUUUUGGUAAUAACUAAUAAUAAAACAAUACACUCUUGAGAAUUCAUAGCUAUGUGAUAUAAGUAUUAUUUAUAAGAACUAGUUUACAACUAAGAUGUAAUUCACUGUGAAAUCAGAAAAAAGUAUUAAUGCCUAAUUAUUGGGAGUUAUGACUGCAUAUUGUAACAAUUUUGAACUGCUUGAGUUCAGUAAAAGAAGUCUUCAUGGAAGUAAAGUAACUAACAUCAAAUUAGAGAAAAUAAUUCAGAAGCAAAACAAUAACAAGUAACAGUGAACCUUCAGUACACUUCUCUGCAUUAAAAAUUAUUUGUAUAUUUUAAAGACAUAAUUUAGAACUUCCUGACACUGCUGUAAAACAUAGUCUACUGAUCAGAAAUAUAAGUUUUCCACACAUAAUGCUUAUCUUACUUGAAGAAAAAUGUUUCAAGCAAAGAUGUCUUUUAUAACAAAAGACAGCCACCUAAGAAAAAGUAGAACACUUCUGUGGUUUGAAUAUGAUCUUCAAAAAGCAUGUGCUGGAGACUUAAUUCCUAAUACAGCAGUGUUGGGAGGUAGAUCCUAAUGAAGGGUGAUUAGACUGUGAGGGCAGAGUGAAUGAAUCAAUGUCAUUAUUGCAGGGGUAGGUUAGUUAUAAGACGGGAAGUUCUGCAAUCUCUCUCUCUCUCUCUGUCUCCUCUUCCCCUCUCUUUCCCUCUCUUUGCCCUUUCAUGAUCUGAUACCUCCAAUGUGUUAUGAGGCAGCAAUAAAUUAUUCACCAGAUGCCAGCCCCUCAAUUCUGGAAUUCCCAGUCUCCAGGACUGUGAGAAAUGGAUUUCUGCUCAUUAUAAAUUGCUCAGUCUCAGGUUUUCUGUUAUAGCAGCAUAAAAUGGACUAAAACAGACACUAUCUUGAUUUAUAGCUCUUUGCAAUUAUGUUUAAUUAUUUUGGAAAUUUUGUUGCAUUCACUGGUUUACCCUAGUGUAUUAGUCCAUUCUCACAAUGCUAUGAAACAUUGAACUGCCUGUGACUCCGUAAUUUAUAAAGAAAAGAGGUUAAAUUGAAUCACAGUUCUGUAGGGCUGGGGAGGCCUCAGGAAACUUACAAUCAUGGCAGAAGGGGAAGCAAACAUGUUAUUUUUCACAUGGCAGCAGGAAGGAGAAAUGCCAAACAAAGAGGGAAAAGUCCCUUAUAAAACCAUCAGAUCUCCUGAGAACUCACUCACUAUCAUAAUAACAGCAGCAUGGGAGUAACUGCCCCAGUGAUUCAAUUAUCUUCCACUGAGUCCCUCCCAGGACACGUGGGAAUUACGGGAACCUCAGUUCAAGAUGAGAUUUCAGUUAGGACACAGUGAAACCAUACCAUUCUGCCCCUGGCCCCUCCUAAAUCUCAUGUCCUCACAUUUCAAAACACAAUCAUGCCUUCCCAAGAGUCUCCCAAAGUCUUAAUUCAUUUCAGCAUUAACUAAAAAGUUCAUAGUCCAAAGUCCAUUCUGAGACAAGGCAAGUCCCUUCUGCCAAUGAGCCUGUAAAAUUGAAAGCAAGUUAAUUAUUUCCUAGAUACAAUAGGGAUACAGGCAUUGGGUAAAUACAGCCAUUUCAAAUGGGAGUGAUUGGUCAAAACAAAGGGGCUACAAGCCCCAUGCAAAUCUGACAUCCAGCAGGCAUUCAAAUCUUAAAGCUCCAAAAUGACCUCCUUUGACUCUAUGUCUCAUAUCCUGCUCACAUUGAUGCAAGAGGUGGGCUCCCAUGGCCUUGGACAGCUCCACCUCUGUGGCUUUGCAGGGUACAACCCCCUUCCUGGCCGCUUUCACAGACUGGCAUUGAGUGUGUGCUGAUUUUCCGGGUGUACAGUGCAAGCCAUCGGUGGAUCUCCCAUGCUGGGGUCUGAAGGAUGGUGACCCUCUUAUCACAGCUCCGCUAGGCAGUGCCCCAGUGAGGAGUCUGUGUGGGGACUCUGACCCUACAUUUUCCUUCUGCACUGCCCUAGCAGAGAUUCUGUUUCUGUUUAUCCUACUCUGUGUGGGCCAGGCCCAGGGCUCCCUGCUCUAUGCAGCUUAGAGAUAUUGUGCCCUGCAUCCCAGCUGCUUCAGCUCCAGCCAUGGCUAAAAGGGGCCAAUGUACAGCUCAGGCCGUUGCUUCAAAGGAUGCAAGCCUCAAGCCUUGGUGGCUUACAUGUGGGGUUAGACCUGUGGGUGCACAGAAGACAAGAAUUGAGGUUUGGGAACCUCCACCUAGAUUUCAGAGGAUCUAUGGAAAUUCCUGGAUAUCAAGCCAGAAAUUAGCUGCAGGGGCAGAAACCUCAUGAAGAAUAUAAGGUUAUUUUUAUUUAUCUUUUUAUGUGAUCCAUAUUUUUUCUCUCUCUCUCUCUCUGUCUGUACUUUCCUCCUUCAUUCUCUCAAAUUGCAGGUUAUUCUUUUUCUCUCCAGUGUGCUAAACUUUCUUUACUUCCUGCCCUAGAAAAAGUCUAUAUUCUUGCCCAGGUUUAGGGCCUCAGUGGACCCUGAAUUAGGAAAUGUUCUUUAGUCCUGACCUAUUUUCAUGAUCUCAUUAAGGGUUUUCUACACUGUUUUCUUUUUGGAAACAAUGUAUAGGUUUAUGCGUAAUCUGUUCAUAGGAAUGGUGCAUUAAGGAGGGGCCUCACUGACAGUCUCUUCAGUAUUUCAUUUUGGGCUGGUCAGUUUCUCUGGGAACUAUUCCCGAAAGGUCUUUGUUUGAUAGUAGAGGACAGGGUGAAAAUAAAGAUGGGCAUUGGCUUUCAGUUUGCAUGCAUAAUGAAGAUUUCUGCUUUUGGCCUGUUACCUCUGCCUACAAAAGUGUCUGAAUUCCCCUCAUUAAUAAGUCCUAUUCUUUAUCAUCUCCAGAGAACAAAUUGGCAUUCUUCUCUCUGUUUGAGGGACUGUUAGACAUGUGGCUGAAUGCAGUGGAGGAAGAAACUCAGGAUGCUGCUCAUUCUUGAAUAGGUUUUAAGUGACUAUCCUAAUUUUGUGACCCCUGGGUUAUCACUACUUUCAGAGGUAUCAGACGCUUUUAAUUCAUGAAUCUUGACAAUAAUGCAAGUUUGUUGAACAAUUUUUGCUGAAGCACCCCCCAAAACCAAAAACAAAUAUUUAACUACAUGGAUAUUGGGAGUACCAACAAACUCAUAUAAUGUAGAAGACCAUAGAAUAAUUUGUACAAAUUGAAAGAUGAUACGGGAACUUGACAAUGACAUUGCCUUUAAUGUUAAACAUGAUGCAGAAUUCAAAAAAGAUUAUGGAAAGGUUGUAUUAAUUUCAGCAGAGAUGGAAGGAUUUGGACAUAUUGUUUGGUACUGUCAUAUGAGAUACAAAAUCAGAAGAGGGAAAAUAAUAAAGACCAAUGAAAUUUA
rnacentral:lncRNA from 10 species